rnacentral:rRNA from 1 species
GACGAACGCUGGCGGCGUGCCUAAUACAUGCAAGUCGAGCGAACCACUUCGGUGGUGAGCGGCGAACGGGUGAGUAACACGUAGGUGAUCUGCCCAUCAGACGGGGACAACGAUUGGAAACGAUCGCUAAUACCGGAUAGGACGAAAGUUUAAAGGUGCUUCUGGCACCGCUGAUGGAUGAGCCUGCGGCGCAUUAGCUAGUUGGUAGGGUAAAGGCCUACCAAGGCGACGAUGCGUAGCCGACCUGAGAGGGUGAACGGCCACACUGGGACUGAGACACGGCCCAGACUCCUACGGGAGGCAGCAGUAGGGAAUCUUCGGCAAUGGGCGAAAGCCUGACCGAGCAACGCCGCGUGAAUGAUGAAGGCCUUCGGGUUGUAAAAUUCUGUUAUAAGAGAAGAACGACUUUAGUAGGAAAUGGCUAGAGUGUGACGGUACCUUAUGAGAAAGCCACGGCUAACUACGUGCCAGCAGCCGCGGUAA